UCUUCAGGCGAACAUUGACAUCGAAGUGAUACCCUAUGAUAUCAAGAAAAAUCCUAUGGAACAAAGAAGCAGAUAAUGAUCACAGAAGUGCAACAAAGAGCACCAGGACCUGAUCAUCAAAUGUUAUGGUGUAGAUCUAAUCAGGAACAAGACACCUAAGUUGAACUCUGGCAAGGUUGUCCCAUGCAGAAGGUUUGAUACCCAGGCUUCUUUUGUACAAGUCCCUAGUCCACCCUCAUCUUGAGAACUGUUCCGGUGUCUGGGAUCCCUACAACAUCUCAGAUG